rnacentral:rRNA from 1 species
AUUAAAGGGCCGCGGUAUUUUAACCGUGCAAAGGUAGCAUAAUCAUUAGGUUUUUAAUUGGAAUCUUGUAUGAAUGGUUCGACAAAAGAAGUACUGUCUUUAUAUUAAAUUUUGAAUUUAACUUUUAAGUGAAAAGGCUUAAAUAUAUUAAAGGGACGAUAAGACCCUAUAAAACUUUACAUUGUAAUUUUAUUUAAUUAAAUUUGUGAAAUAAAGAUUUAAUUUAAUUAUAUGUUAUGUUGGGGAGACAAAGGUAAAAUAAAUUUUAACUGCUUUAUGUUAAAACAUAUAUUUAUGGAUAUAUUAAAAGAUCCUUUAUAAAGAUUAAAAGAUUAAGUUACUUUAGGGAUAACAGCGUUAUUUUUUUUGAGAGUUCCUAUCGAAAAGAGAGUUUGCGACCUCGAUGUUGAAUUAAAAUAUCUUUAUAGUGCAGAAGCUAUAAAAGAAGGUCUGUUCGACCUUUAAAUUUUUACAUGAUUUGAGUUCA